UUAUUGGUAUUAUAUCGAGUGCAAUUUUGAAGGGUAAAGGGGGGAUAUUGUUGAUACUAAAUUCGGAUAUACAGGUGAGGGUAAUCGCCCCAGGGUUAUUCAACCCAUACAGCGUAUUAUAUAAAAAUGUCCGGCCCCUGUGAAUGUGAUAAUCCAAUCUCCUCUAUAGGGGGAGAAUUUAGACUUUAGUCGGCCCGCGAAAUUUCCCCCAUGAAGAUAGAAUACUGAGCUCCAGGACGGAACUGCUUGGCGACGUUCCAUAACACCAUGCAAUAUUGAGGCUGGGUUUUCUUUUAGCUUGAAGUACUCUUACAACGUUGGUAUAAGGCAGCGUAUUUCAGGAUACGGCUUUAAAUAUCAGAUGGAGGUUUCUGCAUUACGCGUUAAACAGUGCCAACACAGGAUAUGAGAGUAAUGAGUGCUAACGAAAACCUAGCGGCGGACGGGUGAGUAACACGUGGAUAACCUACCUAUAAGACUGGGAUAACUUCGGGAAACCGGAGCUAAUACCGGGAUAAUAUAUUGAACCGCAUGGUUCAAUAGUGAAUGACGGUUUUGCUGUCACUUAUAGAUGGAUCCGCGCCGCAUUAGCUAGUUGGUAAGGUAACGGCUUACCAAGGCAACGAUGCGUAGCCGACCUGAGAGGGUGAUCGGCCACACUGGAACUGAGACACGGUCCAGACUCCUACGGGAGGCAGCAGUAGGGAAUCUUCCGCAAUGGGCGAAAGCCUGACGGAGCAACGCCGCGUGAGUGAUGAAGGUCUUCGGAUCGUAAAACUCUGUUAUUAGGGAAGAACAAAUGUGUAAGUAACUAUGCACGUCUUGACGGUACCUAAUCAGAAAGCCACGGCUAACUACGUGCCAGCAGCCGCGGUAC
rnacentral:rRNA from 1 species